rnacentral:lncRNA from 1 species
AAAAAUAAGAGGAAAAGAACUGAAAAUAGACUCCAGGAAAAAGUCUGCAGGUCUUCCAGAAAAAUAGUGUCUAAAGAUGAUUCACAGAAAGUAACAAUAGAAGACAACAAUGGAUUACAAUCACAUGGUGAUUGCUUUUCUAGUCCAGGUAAUGCAUGUCUGAUAAGGAAAUGUACUUCUCUUAGUAAACAAAUAAUGAUAAUUGCCUAUUUCUUAAUUUUCAGGAAGACAACACCAGGUAUAUUCCACCAUGACAGAUGAAAUCUUUUGGCAACAUAAUAAUGGUCACAACCUCAAUGAAAGCAACACAUCCGAGAUGGAAGGACAAAUGGCACUUGUCUCAUAUAAAGGAGAUGUGGAAGGACAAAAGGC